rnacentral:ncRNA from 1 species
AAGAGGGAACCCGGUGGGAAUCCGGGACUGCCCCGCAGCGGUGAGCGGGAACGACCGCCGUCAUCAGCACUGGCCCGACGAGGGCCGGGAAGCGACGGCCAGUAGGAGCCUCGUGUCCCACGAGACGUGCCCGCGAGUCCGAAGACCU